AGUGAACGCUGGCGGUAGGCCUAACACAUGCAAGUCGAACGGCAGCACAGUAAGAGCUUGCUCUUACGGGUGGCGAGUGGCGGACGGGUGAGGAAUACAUCGGAAUCUACUUUUUCGUGGGGGAUAACGUAGGGAAACUUACGCUAAUACAGCAUACGACCUACGGGUGAAAGCAGGGGAUCUUCGGACCUUGCGCGAUUGAAUGAGCCGAUGUCGGAUUAGAUAGUAGGCGGGGUAAAGGCCCACCAAGGCGACGAUCCGUAGCUGGUCUGGGAGGAUGAUCAGACAGAAUGGAAUCGAGCAAAGGAACAGACCGCUACGGGAGGCAGCAGUGGGGAAUAGUGGACAAUGGGCGCAAGCCUGAUGCAGCCAUACCGCGUGGGUGAAGAAGGCCUUCGGGUUGUAAAGCCCUUUUGUUGGGAAAGAAAAGCAGCAGGUUAAUACCCCGCUGUUCUGACGGUACCCAAAGAAUAAGCACCGGCUAACUUCGUG
rnacentral:rRNA from 1 species